rnacentral:rRNA from 1 species
UUAAGCGACUAAGCGUACACGGUGGAUGCCCUGGCAGUCAGAGGCGAUGAAGGACGUGCUAAUCUGCGAAAAGCGUCGGUAAGGUGAUAUGAACCGUUANCCGGCGAUGUCCGAAUGGGGAAACCCAGUGCAAUUCGUUGCACUAUCGUUAACUGAAUACAUAGGUUAACGAGGCGAACCGGGGGAACUGAAACAUCUAAGUACCCCGAGGAAAAGAAAUCAACCGAGAUUCCCCCAGUAGCGGCGAGCGAACGGGGAGCAGCCCAGAGUCUGAAUCAGCUUGUGUGUUAGUGGAACGGUCUGGAAAGUCCGACGGUACAGGGUGAUAGUCCCGUACACCAAAAUGCACAGGCUGUGAACUCGAAGAGUAGGGCGGGACACGUGGUAUCCUGUCUGAAUAUGGGGGGACCAUCCUCCAAGGCUAAAUACUCCUGACUGACCGAUAGUGAACCAGUACCGUGAGGGAAAGGCGAAAAGAACCCCGGCGAGGGGAGUGAAAAAGAACCUGAAACCGUGUACGUACAAGCAGUGGGAGCACCUUCGGGUGUGACUGCGUACCUUUUGUAUAAUGGGUCAGCGACUUAUAUUCUGUAGCAAGGUUAACCGUAUAGGGGAGCCGCAGGGAAACCGAGUCUUAACUGGGCGUUAAGUUGCAGGGUAUAGACCCGAAACCCGGUGAUCUAGCCAUGGGCAGGUUGAAGGUUGGGUAACACUAACUGGAGGACCGAACCGACUAAUGUUGAAAAAUUAGCGGAUGACUUGUGGCUGGGGGUGAAAGGCCAAUCAAACCGGGAGAUAGCUGGUUCUCCCCGAAAGCUAUUUAGGUAGCGCCUCGUGAAUUCAUCUUCGGGGGUAGAGCACUGUUUCGGCUAGGGGGUCAUCCCGACUUACCAACCCGAUGCAAACUACGAAUACCGAAGAAUGUUAUCACGGGAGACACACGGCGGGUGCUAACGUCCGUCGUGAAGAGGGAAACAACCCAGACCGCCAGCUAAGGUCCCAAAGUCAUGGUUAAGUGGGAAACGAUGUGGGAAGGCACAGACAGCCAGGAUGUUGGCUUAGAAGCAGCCAUCAUUUAAAGAAAGCGUAAUAGCUCACUGGUCGAGUCGGCCUGCGCGGAAGAUGUAACGGGGCUAAACCAUGCACCGAAGCUGCGGCAGCGACACUAUGUGUUGUUGGGUAGGGGAGCGUUCUGUAAGCCUGCGAAGGUGNUGCUGGAGGUAUCAGAAGUGCGAAUGCUGACAUAAGUAACGAUAAAGCGGGUGAAAAGCCCGCUCGCCGGAAGACCAAGGGUUCCUGUCCAACGUUAAUCGGGGCAGGGUGAGUCGACCCCUAAGGCGAGGCCGAAAGGCGUAGUCGAUGGGAAACAGGUUAAUAUUCCUGUACUUGGUGUUACUGCGAAGGGGGGACGGAGAAGGCUAUGUUAGCCGGGCGACGGUUGUCCCGGUUUAAGCAUGUAGGCUGAUUGUCCAGGCAAAUCCGGAUAAUCAAGGCUGAGGUGUGAUGACGAGGCACUACGGUGCUGAAGUAACAAAUGCCCUGCUUCCAGGAAAAGCCUCUAAGCAUCAGGUAACAUCAAAUCGUACCCCAAACCGACACAGGUGGUCAGGUAGAGAAUACCAAGGCGCUUGAGAGAACUCGGGUGAAGGAACUAGGCAAAAUGGUGCCGUAACUUCGGGAGAAGGCACGCUGGUGUGUAGGUGAAGCCCCUGCGGGUGGAGCUGAGACCAGUCGAAGAUACCAGCUGGCUGCAACUGUUUAUUAAAAACACAGCACUGUGCAAACACGAAAGUGGACGUAUACGGUGUGACGCCUGCCCGGUGCCGGAAGGUUAAUUGAUGGGGUUAUCCGUAAGGAGAAGCUCUUGAUCGAAGCCCCGGUAAACGGCGGCCGUAACUAUAACGGUCCUAAGGUAGCGAAAUUCCUUGUCGGGUAAGUUCCGACCUGCACGAAUGGCGUAAUGAUGGCCAGGCUGUCUCCACCCGAGACUCAGUGAAAUUGAACUCGCUGUGAAGAUGCAGUGUACCCGCGGCAAGACGGAAAGACCCCGUGAACCUUUACUAUAGCUUGACACUGAACAUUGAGCCUUGAUGUGUAGGAUAGGUGGGAGGCUUUGAAGCGUGGACGCCAGUCUGCGUGGAGCCAACCUUGAAAUACCACCCUUUAAUGUUUGAUGUUCUAACGUUGGCCCCUUACCGGGGUUGCGGACAGUGUCUGGUGGGUAGUUUGACUGGGGCGGUCUCCUCCCAAAGCGUAACGGAGGAGCACGAAGGUUAGCUAAUCCUGGUCGGACAUCAGGAGGUUAGUGCAAUGGCAUAAGCUAGCUUGACUGCGAGCGUGACGGCGCGAGCAGGUGCGAAAGCAGGUCAUAGUGAUCCGGUGGUUCUGAAUGGAAGGGCCAUCGCUCAACGGAUAAAAGGUACUCCGGGGAUAACAGGCUGAUACCGCCCAAGAGUUCAUAUCGACGGCGGUGUUUGGCACCUCGAUGUCGGCUCAUCACAUCCUGGGGCUGAAGUAGGUCCCAAGGGUAUGGCUGUUCGCCAUUUAAAGUGGUACGCGAGCUGGGUUUAGAACGUCGUGAGACAGUUCGGUCCCUAUCUGCCGUGGGCGCUGGAGAAUUGAGGGGGGCUGCUCCUAGUACGAGAGGACCGGAGUGGACGCAUCACUGGUGUUCGGGUUGUCAUGCCAAUGGCACUGCCCGGUAGCUAAAUGCGGAAGAGAUAAGUGCUGAAAGCAUCUAAGCACGAAACUUGCCCCGAGAUGAGUUCUCCCUGAGACUUUAAGUCUCCUGAAGGAACGUUGAAGACGACGACGUUGAUAGGCCGGGUGUGUAAGCGCAGCGAUGCGUUGAGCUAACCGGUACUAAUGAACCGUGAGGCUUAACCUU